AAAUUAUGUUUAUACCACACAAAAAACGCAUCAACUUGAGGGUUUGUGACUGUUGUAUUGGAUGUUACACAACCUUAUAAUGAAAACAAAAACAGUAUUUCUUUCUCAGAUACAUGUAUACGUAUUUCUUAUCGCUUAAGAUUAUUCUAUUUUUUUUCAUAAACCUACUCAACUUUCAUUCCAGGAUGAGAAAAACCAAGUUCUUGUGACCAAUGUCUGGCUUGACCAGGAAUGGGACGACGAAUUUCUGAAGUGGGAUCCCUUGCAGUUUUCUAAUGUCACUAAAAUUAGAAUUCCGUGUCACAAGAUAUGGCUUCCUGAUAUUGUGCUAUACAACAACGCUGCAGAGUACACGGAUGGGGUCAUGCUAGCCAAUGCAAUGGUAGAACACAAUGGUAACGUUUUUUGGCCCAUCCCUACAAAGCUUCAGAGCUCCUGCAAAGUGGACGUAACCUACUUCCCUUUCGAUGACCAGAUCUGCAAGAUGAAGUUCGGGUCGUGGACCUAUGAUGGAUUCCAGGUAGACAUCACGAACAGGUCCCAGGAGGUCGACCUAUCCAAUUACGUUGUGAACGGCGAGUGGGUCCUCAUCAGCGUCAGAGUCCAAAGGAACGUGGUGUAUUACACGUGUUGCCCGGAAUCUUUUCCGGAUGUGACGUUUUUUAUUCACAUUAGACGCAGAACGCUGUACUAUAUGUAUAACGUCAUUUUCCCGUGCAUUAUGAUGUCAGCGCUGACGUUGUUGGUGUUCUGUUUACCGCCCGACUCUGGAGAAAAGAUUGCCCUUGGUAUCACUGUGUUACUGGCUUUCUCCGUUUUUAUGCUGGCUGUGGCAGAAAAUUUACCUGAAACUUCAGAAUUUGUUCCUCUUAUAAGUAAGUAUAUACCUCACCAUAGUGAUGUCCUUGACCUCAGUCUCUGUCAUUAUGACGGUGUUCGUGCUAAAUCUUCAUCACAGAGGUCCUAGCAGAAAUGCAGUACCUGCAUGGAUACGAGGCAUUUUAUUGGGACCAAUACAGAGUAUUUUAUGUGUGGGGAAAAAUGAUCGAAUACCAACAGGUAGACAGGGUUCGCGAUUCCUCAGAACUAUGUCUCUACGAGCAACACUGGAAAACAUAGCUCAGGAACUUCAAAACGAGGCACAAUUAGAGAAUGGUGUCAUGGCGGACACCAUAGUUACAGACGGACAAGGAACGACACUUCACAAUGAAACAAGAUGUGACGUCAGGUUACUACCAAACGAUAACCACCAAAGACCGCGAAGGGGAAUCCAAGUUAAAAAUUUGCAUACAAAGUCUCACGAAGAAAUUGUCAGAAACUUACAAAGUAUUUUGGACAAGCAUGAAAAGGAAGAUAGGGAUUAUGAAAUCAUUCAGGAAUGGCGCAAAGUAGCGCAAGUUGUAGACCGUAUUCUAUUUUGGAUUUUUCUUUUUGGAACUCUGAGUUCCACACUUAUAAUUCUCGUAAUUACACCAGCCGUUAAAUAGCACAGUCAACACAUUUUUUUUUUACCAUAUAAAGCACAGUUCAGAAGAAAAAAAUCAUUGUUUCACGAUUCUUUUAUAUGAUCUUAAAACAUUUUCAUAAUCUUAAAGUCAUGUGAUAAACAACAUACAUGUAAUUCAGUAUAACAAACAGCACAAAUGCAUGCCUCAUAUCAUUAAGUAUUAUUUAAAUGUCACAAAAGAUUAAGUCAAUAAAAUUAAAUUCAGUAUAUGUACAUUUUUGGCAUGUCGAUUUUAUGUAUUAAAUUUUGU
rnacentral:misc_RNA from 1 species